rnacentral:rRNA from 1 species
UACAGAGGUGGCAAGCGUUGUUCGGAAUUACUGGGCGUAAAGGGCGCGUAGGCGGUUCUGUAAGUCCCGCGUGAAAUCCCCCGGCUCAACUGGGGAACUGCGCGGGAAACUGUGGGGCUAGAGUUCAGGAGAGGGAAGCGGAAUUCCGGGUAUAGCGGUGAAAUGCGUAGAUAUCCGGAGGAACACCGGUGGCGAAGGCGGCUUCCUGGACUGACACUGACGCUGAGACGCGAAAGCGUGGGGAGCAAACAGG